rnacentral:tRNA from 3 species
GCCGCUUUAGCUCAGUUGGUAGAGCGUCUCACUCGUAAUGAGAAGGUCACCAGUCCGAUUCUGGUAAGCGGCUCCA